rnacentral:tRNA from 1 species
CGUGCUCGUCGAGCAGCCGGUCGAGCUCCGCCCGCCCCACGGCGGCGGGCCGGAGCAGCCUCGGGUCGCGGCGUCGGAUCACCCGGCGGUCACGACC